AUUUUGUCCACAUAAUUUUUUCCUCACCUUCUUUUUUUAGUUACCUGUUUUUGGUUAAUGGAGUUGCUAUUGAUCAAGUACUACAGAAUAAAUUUAAAAGGUAUCUUAUACAAUAAGAAACACAUUUCUCCAUCUUUUGUGCAAUCAAGAACACUUUUAUGCACCUGGCAUUUGGUGAAGUAAUGAUCUUUUGCCUGUGUGCUUACCUGCAACUCCUAGAUCAUUAAAUAUUAGCUACCAUCAAGAAGUUCACUAUUUGAUCCAUUUAUACCCACCUGACACUUGUACUGUGCAUGUUAUGGGCCACUGUCAAUAAAUCUACUUGCGUUAUGCUUGCUUGCAUCUCUGUCCCAAACCCAACCUCUUUCACCAUUUUCACACUUAGGAUUCUAAUGCCAGGUUCUUGCCUGUGUAAUUGUCAUCAGUAACGUGCAUUAGUUGUCCUUUUUACCCUUAUUUUUCAUAGACUUUCAACUCAACUUAGCUAAGCUUAAAUCAUAGGUAGCUAUAAAUUUCAAAGUGACACAAUUAUUGUAGCACAAAAUUAUUAGUUGGUAGUGCAGAGAUUUUGUUCAAUUUUGACCUGACUCAAAGGAAAAGGAAAAGAUGACUAUUCAGGGAAAAAAUUUUUUAUUAAUACAUGAGUAAAGGAGCUGGAAGUCCAAUGUUGUCAGCUACCUUUUCCAUCUCACUGGCAAACUAAUCUCUUCUCCUUAGUGCUUAGUGACAUUCAAAUAUAAUUAUUUGGAGGGAACAAGUGUGGGGUUGGAGACCACAGGCCAGGUCACCAGUUGUACCCCCCCCCACCCCCAUUCUAUUUUCUUGGGGUAUUUUUCAUUGCCUUCUUUAAUUUAUUCAACAUUAACUUUGAGUAGCUGGCUGAAGAGAAGAAUAUAAUGGCACAUCAGAUAUCUAACUUUCUCUUAAUUAGGACCGUCAUGCACAAGCGUUAAUGGAACACACCUGUUUUUGAGUUGCAG
rnacentral:misc_RNA from 1 species